AGCAGGUCCCAGAUGGAUGCAACCCCUGCAUUGAGCAGAGGCAGAUAUUAACCCAACAAGAUCUUGCCAAAGUUUUGAAUCAGUUGGUUGAGCAGAUUCCCUUCCUUUACUGUUCAUACGCACAGUAUUACAAGCCAUAUGUGCUUUUCCUGCACUGGCAACUUUCAGUAUCCGAAGCAUUUUUCUUGCCACUUCUCCUUGACCUGGCUUGGUGCAUGAGUUGUGAUGAUCAGCAGCAGAGUUUGACAUGGAGAAGAAAGGAAGAAAGGAAGAAAGAAACAGAGAAGAGGCAGAGUAAUAGGAAAUGGAAAUUACAAAGAGGAGAGGGAGGGAACGUGGGAGGAGGAAGUAACGGCCUGUUGUUAGUGUUACAGAGUUUGUAAAUUUAAUUCGUUUUUAUUUUAUUUAAUGGGUUUAGAAUUUAAAGUGGGAGCGGAUUUGUGAUGUUGUUGAAAAUCAUACUAUGUGACGUGGGAAAAUCAUCAUGAUAUUCCCUCCCUCACUCCCAUUCACAGUCAUCGACUUUCUGUGUGAGAGUGAGAGAGAGAAUUGGCCAUGUGACGAAUAGUGUGGGUUGAUAAUUUAAUUGAUAUUUAUAUGUGGUUCAUUAA